rnacentral:rRNA from 1 species
AGAAUAACUGUUGGAAACGACAGCUAAUACUCCAUAAGCUGGGAAACCCGGAAAGAUUUAUCGCAAAGGAGGAGCCCGCGUCAGAUUAGGUAGUUGGUGGGGUAAAGGCUACCAGGCCUGUGAUCUGUAGCUGGUCUGAGAGGAUGACCAGCCACACUGGGACUGAGACACGGCCCAGACUCCUACGGGAGGCAGCAGUGGGGAAUAUUGGACAAUAGGGGGAACCCUGAUCCAGCAAUGCCGCGUGAGUGAAGAAGGCCUUCGGGUUGUAAAGCUCUUUCGCCUGUGAAGAUAAUGACGGUAACAGGAUAAGAAGUCCCGGCUAACUCCGUGC